rnacentral:rRNA from 1 species
CCUACGGGAGGCAGCAGUGAGGAAUAUUGGUCAAUGGACGAGAGUCUGAACCAGCCAAGUAGCGUGAAGGAUGACUGCCCUAUGGGUUGUAAACUUCUUUUAUAAAGGAAUAAAACGAGGCACGUGUGCCUUUUUGCAUGUACUUUAUGAAUAAGGAUCGGCUAACUCCGUGCCAGCAGCCGCGGUAAUACGGAGGAUGCGAGGGUUAUCCGGAUUGAUGGGGGUUAAAGGGGGCGUAGGCGGGCUGUUGAGGCAGCGGGAAAAGCCCGGGGGUCAACCCCGGCGAGCCGUUGAAACUGGCUGUCUUGAGAGGUCGAGAGGUAUGCGGAAUGCGCAGUGUAGCGGUGAAAUGCUUAGAUAUUGCGCAGAACUCCGAUUGCGAAGGCAGCAUACCGGCGGCGAUCUGACGCUGAGGCACGAAAGCGUGGGUAUCGAACAGGAUUAGAUACCCCUGUAGUC